rnacentral:rRNA from 1 species
CCUCGGAUCAGGUAGGAAUACCCGCUGAACUUAAGCAUAUCAAUAAGCGGAGGAAAAGAAACCAACAGGGAUUGCCCUAGUAACGGCGAGUGAAGCGGCAACAGCUCAAAUUUGAAAUCUGGCCCUCGGGUCCGAGUUGUAAUUUGUAGAGGAUGCUUUUGGUUAGGUACCUUCCAAGUUCCCUGGAACGGGACGCCUUAGAGGGUGAGAGCCCCGUACGGUUGGAUACCGAGCCUCUGUAAAGCUCCUUCAACGAGUCGAGUAGUUUGGGAAUGCUGCUCAAAAUGGGAGGUAAAUUUCUUCUAAAGCUAAAUAUUGGCCAGAGACCGAUAGCGCACAAGUAGAGUGAUCGAAAGAUGAAAAGCACUUUGAAAAGAGGGUUAAAUAGCACGUGAAAUUGCUGAAAGGGAAGCGCUUAUGACCAGACUUUUUCUAGGCGGAUCAAUAGGGGUUCUCCCCUGUGCACUCCGUCUGGUUUAGGCCAGCAUCGGUUUCGGUAGGGGGAUAAAAGCUUCGGGGAUGUGGCUCUUUCGGGAGUGUUAUAGCCCGUUGCAUAAUACCUUUACUGGGACCGAGGUUCGCGCUCUGCAAGGAUGCUGGCGUAAUGGUCAUCAGCGACCCGUCUUGAAACACGGACCAAGGAGUCGAACAUUUGUGCAAGUGUUUGGGUGUUAAACCCUCACGCGUAAUGAAAGUGAACGGAGGUCAGAGCCUUAGGGUGCAUGAUCGACCGAUCCUGAUGUUUUCGGAUGGAUUUGAGUAAGAGCAUAACUGUUCGGACCCGAAAGAUGGUGAACUAUGCGUGGAUAGGGUGAAGCCAGAGGAAACUCUGGUGGAGGCUCGCAGCGGUUCUGACGUGCAAAUCGAUCGUCAAAUCUGCGCAUGGGGGCGAAAGACUAAUCGAC